rnacentral:rRNA from 1 species
CCUACUGGUGGCAGCAGUGGGGAAUAUUGCGCAAUGGGCGCAAGCCUGACGCAGCGACGCCGCGUGAGGGAUGAAGGUCUUCGGAUCGUAAACCUCUGUCAGCAGGGAAGAACGGUCACUGUGCUAAUCAGCAGUGAAUUGACGGUACCUGCAAAGGAAGCACCGGCUAACUCCGGGCCAGCAGCCGCGGUCAUACGGAGGGUGCGGGAGUUAAGCGGAAUUACUGGGCGUAAAGCGCACGUAGGCGGUAUGUCAAGUAAAGGGUGAAAUCCCCGCGCUCAACGUGGGAACUGCCUUUGAAACUGGCAACCUGGAUGGUGUGAGAGGAUAGUGGAAGUCCAGGUGUAGGAGUUAAAUCCGUAGAUAUCUG